CGAUGGUUAGUUUAAAUAAAACUACUAAUUUCGACUUAGUAAAUUCCAAUCACGGAACCAUCAA
rnacentral:tRNA from 1 species